rnacentral:tRNA from 1 species
GCCUGGAUGGCUUAGUUGGUUGAGUGUCUGACUUCGUCUCAGGUCAUGAUCUCACGGUUUGUGGGUUCAAGCCCUGCGUCGGGCU